GCUGUAGACAAACUGGUAAGACUUGUUCUCCAGCCUUCGUGAAAACAGCUUCUCAUUUCACAAGAAGUCCCAUGCAUCAUCUCUUACCCUAAAACCCAACGCCUUGCUUGACUACAGCAGAGGAGAAUUUUUGAAAACCUGUGAUCUCUUCUCGGCAUCCCUUCCAUUGUGGAUCAGAAAUCACGAUUUCCAUUCUGGCAAAUCUUUCCUCAGUGGGCACUCCUGAAUGAUUCAGCUCCAUACCCUACUGAGAAUAUUAAAGAAGACAAUCAUACCCUGAAGGUAAACCGGUGUUCCAUGGAUACAGUAGUGGUUUCCACAUGUGACUCAGACACUCCACAAGACCUUCCUGGAAGACAGCCAUCAUAUUUUGAAAUGCAACAAGUAUGUGCAGUCACUCCCAGCUGGACCAGCCAGAUGUGCAGCAGUGUCUGAACACCCUGAGGGAGAGGAAGUGGAGGACAAGGAGACACAGCUGAGCACCAAAAAAACCGCAUACUAUAGGACCACUUCAUCUGCGAAAUUCCAGGUGUGUUGGGGUAUCCAGGAUUGGCCGAGGUGGG